rnacentral:rRNA from 2 species
AUAUUGGGCGUAAGAGCUCGUAGGCGGUUUGUCGCGUCUGCUGUGAAAUCUGGGGGCUCAACCCCCAGCCUGCAGUGGGUACGGGCAGACUAGAGUGCGGUAGGGGAGAUUGGAAUUCCUGGUGUAGCGGUGGAAUGCGCAGAUAUCAGGAGGAACACCGAUGGCGAAGGCAGAUCUCUGGGCCGUAACUGACGCUGAGGAGCGAAAGCGUGGGGAGCGAACAGGAUUAGAUACCCUGGUAGUCCACGCCGUAAACGUUGGGAACUAGAUGUGGGGACCAUUCCACGGUCUCCGUGUCGCAGCUAACGCAUUAAGUUCCCCGCCUGGGGAGUACGGCCGCAAGGCUAAAACUCAAAGGAAUUGACGGGGGCCCGCACAAGCGGCGGAGCAUGCGGAUUAAUUCGAUGCAACGCGAAGAACCUUACCAAGGCUUGACAUAUACCGGAAACGGCCAGAGAUGGUCGCCCCGCAAGGUCGGUAUACAGGUGGUGCAUGGUUGUCGUCAGCUCGUGUCGUGAGAUGUUGGGUUAAGUCCCGCAACGAGCGCAACCCUCGUUCUAUGUUGCCAGCACGUUAUGGUGGGAACUCAUAGGAGACUGCCGGGGUCAACUCGGAGGAAGGUGGGGAUGACGUCAAAUCAUCAUGCCCCUUAUGUCUUGGGCUUCACGCAUGCUACAAUGGCCGGUACAAAGGGCUGCGAUACCGUAAGGUGGAGCGAAUCCCAAAAAGCCGGUCUCAGUUCGGAUUGAGGUCUGCAACUCGACCUCAUGAAGUCGGAGUCGCUAGUAAUCGCAGAUCAGCAACGCUGCGGUGAAUACGUUCCCGGGCCUUGUACACACCGCCCGUCAAGUCAUGAAAGUCGGUAACACCCGAAGCCAGUGGCCUAACCCCUUGUGGGAUGGAGCUGUCGAAGGUGGGAUCGGUGAUUAGGACGAAGUCGUACAGAGGGAAACCAAUUACCUUUGGCAGUUCAUCCACAAGGGGUA